rnacentral:rRNA from 1 species
UACAGAGGGUGCGAGCGUUAAUCGGAAUUACUGGGCGUAAAGCGCGCGUAGGCGGCUUUGCAAGUCGGGUGUGAAAGUCCCCAGGCUUAACCUGGGAACUGCAUUCGAGACUGCAUUGCUAGAGUAUGGGAGAGGGAAGUGGAAUUUCCGGUGUAGCGGUGAAAUGCGUAGAUAUCAGGAGGAACACCUGCGGUGUAGGCGGCUUACUGGACCAUAACUGACGCUGAGGCACGAAAGCGUGGGUAGCAAACAGG